ensembl:lncRNA
GCUUUUUGGCAUCUCCCUGGGGUGUUUGCUGAGAACUCAGUGCACCCGGACCGUCAGAUCCCUCUGAGUUGGUAAGCAAUCUUCCCUAGCAUUUAUUUAUGCUCAAGGAGGAGAACAAUGAGAAGAAAUUGAGACCCAAGAGAGCCUGUCGUGUGCAAAUGCAGAAGAACCAAGAAAGCUGUAAAAUUGCCUCCCCUCCCAGCCAGCCCUGUUCGGGAGAAUGGAACCUUCCAUUAACCCUGUUUAAGGGACUGACUUUCCACCUCUGGGUACAGCCACCAUGGUCAAGUCCUGCAUCUGGACCUGGGCGGCAGGAUGGGACCUGGGCUGGAAACCAGACAAGGGCCCCUCCACACACCUCAACAAGGUGGUGGCCCUGAUGACUGCCCUGGUGACCCCGUUCCUCAACCCCUUCAUCUUCACCUUCCGGAAUGAGAAGGUCCAAAAGGUCACAGAGGAUACGUCCAAAAGGAUCGUCCUCAGACACCCAGCCGCCCUCAGAGGAGAGCACAGAGGGGGGCUGUCCACUGCGGGU